rnacentral:lncRNA from 1 species
ACAAAACAAAAAAAACCCUCUUCAGCACCCUUUCUUAAGCAUAGAAGGAGGCUGAGGCAGGUCUAUGGCAAACUUGAGACCUGCCAGGGCAAUUUGGGACUUAGUGCGAUCCUGUCUCAAUCAGUCAGUCAAUCAAUCGACCUGGUGAUGUAGUUCAGUGUUAGGGUGCCCCUAGGUUUGACCCCCAGUACUAGAAAAAAAGGAAAGUAAAAAGAGAAAAAAGAAAAGAAAAUACAAAUUUCAAAGUCACAGAGGCAAGAGUAAGAGUGCCUCAUCUAUUUUAAGUGUUAAAACCUCACCCUUCUUGUUAAAACAAGCAGGUCCAUCCCCAGUCCAACUGCACCCUGCAGACUUUGGAAUCUGUGGUAGCAGCUGGAGGAGGCAGAUGAGGGGACCCGGGUCGGGCAGGGCAGGUGGACAAGGGGUGGAAACAAACCUGGAAACAGUCUCCGCUCCCUCUGACAUGCACUGUCUCCCACCAGCUCAUGAAACACCUGUGUGUCUCCAGAUCCCAGGAGCCUCCAGCAGGUCCCAGGUCACAGCCCAACGGUGAAGCAGUGGGACCACAGACUGGGUGCAACCUCCGCCAGCGAACCAGGGCUGCCUGGAGAUUUUCCUCAAGAUCAGAUACUCCCGAAUUGGAGCUGUGGAGGAUGUCGUGGCAGAUCGAGGUCCUGUGCUCACUGUGAAGCUCGCCAGGGUGAGAACUCGGGGGCAGAAGGUUCGCAGACUUUGGCUCCAGCUGCUUUCGUUCCUACAGAUGAAGAGCAGGACAGCGAUUGUUACAGGAGCUACAUCCACUGAUAUCAAUAAUGGCGUCUACCAUAGGAGAACUUCAAACUGAAAAACAGCCAACAAUGUUUAUUAAUUCAUCUCAAAAUCACAAUAAAUCCAUCAGAAGUUAACAUGGAAAGCACAUUUUUAAAUACAAAAUAGUAGAUUUUUCUAAACAAAACUGGGAGAAGAUGGUAUAGUUUAUGCUUUCAUGUGUGCAGCUCACCAUAACGGGAUUCCCACAGCUGAUUCUGCCACAUGGAUCACUGUGGGUGUUUUCUUCAGGGCCA